rnacentral:lncRNA from 1 species
CUUCCACACAGGGCUGUGUCCUUUAAAAAGACACCUCGGGGAUGCUGAGCAUCCAGAAAAUGUGCCAAAUAUUUCACAACUCAUCUCUUUGAAUUACCUUGAGAGUACCUGGCACUUGCUUUUUUUCAGUGGUGACAACUCUUCAGUCUUUGAGGAUUGGUUUUGAAAAUGUGAAGCAAACAGAAAAAAAAAAAAGGAAAAGCUAUCCAGAGCUGAGUCUAAAGAAUGCGGUAAUAAUUGCUUUACUUGAGCCCCACUUGAGAUGUGCUUAUCCAAUUAAAAACAUGAUUUUCCCUCCCUUCCUACCUCUCCCCCUUCCUUACUUCUUCCCUCUUUUCCUCCUCCUUCCCUUUCUCCUCCUCCUUCUCCUUGUUCUAGUCUUUUUUUCUUAGCUCAUGAAAUGCUUCUGUGAAGAGACUUUCAAAAAUGUUUUCAGCAUGGAAAAUUUUUAAAAUCAAUAAGUAUUCUUCCAAGUGACAACCUUGAAUACUAAUAUUUUGAAAACCUUCUGAUCUCCAACUUCAAGCCAUUUACUCUGCAGCGAAUAGCCAAGCAUUUUCACUUGGCUGGCUAUGUCUCGGAUGUUCCUGUUUGUUUAUGCAUUUGCUUGUCGGGAAGUAAAGUAUAAAACUUUUAACAAACACCUUUACCUUUGUUAAAUAGAUAUAGAGCCAACAAAGUAUAAUAUGAAAUUCAAUACAGAAAGGAAAGCCCUUUUACAUCUUCACUUCAGUUCAAUUGAGUUCAGUCUCUCAGACGUGUCCGACUCUUUGCGACCCCAUGAAUCGCAGCACGCCAGGCCUCCCUGUCCAUCAUCAACACCCGGAGUUCACUCAGACUCACGUCCAUCAAGUCAGUGAUGCCAUCCAGCCAUCUCAUCCUCUGUCGUCCCCUUCUCCUCCUGCCCCCAGUCCUUCCCAGCAUCAGAGUCUUUUCCAAUGAGUCAACUCUUCGCAUGAGGUGGCCAAACAUCUUACUAUGUGACGAAUGUAAGUUUGAAUAUACUUAUUUUCUUAUUUGAG